rnacentral:rRNA from 1 species
UUUCGAAAUGGGCGCAAGCCUGAUCCAGCCUGCCGCGUGCAGGAUGAAGGCCUUCGGGUUGUAAACUGCUUUUGUACGGAACGAAACGGCCUUUUCUAAUAAAGAGGGCUAAUGACGGUACCGUAAGAAUAAGCACCGGCUAACUACGUGCCAGCAGCCGCGGUAAUA